rnacentral:rRNA from 1 species
CCUACGGGAGGCAGCAGUGGGGAAUAUUGGACAAUGGGGGGAACCCUGAUCCAGCCAUGCCGCGUGUGUGAAGAAGGCCUUUUGGUUGUAAAGCACUUUAAGCGAGGAGGAGGCUACCUAGAUUAAUACUCUGGGAUAGUGGACGUUACUCGCAGAAUAAGCACCGGCUAACUCUGUGCCAGCAGCCGCGGUAAUACAGAGGGUGCGAGCGUUAAUCGGAUUUACUGGGCGUAAAGCGUGCGUAGGCGGCUGAUUAAGUCGGAUGUGAAAUCCCUGAGCUUAACUUAGGAAUUGCAUUCGAUACUGGUCAGCUAGAGUAUGGGAGAGGAUGGUAGAAUUCCAGGUGUAGCGGUGAAAUGCGUAGAGAUCUGGAGGAAUACCGAUGGCGAAGGCAGCCAUCUGGCCUAAUACUGACGCUGAGGUACGAAAGCAUGGGGAGCAAACAGGAUUAGAUACCCUGGUAGUCCAUGCCGUAAACGAUGUCUACUAGCCGUUGGGGCCUUUGAGGCUUUAGUGGCGCAGCUAACGCGAUAAGUAGACCGCCUGGGGAGUACGGUCGCAAGACUAAAACUCAAAGGAAUUGACGG